rnacentral:rRNA from 1 species
CCCUUAGAUGUUCUGGGCUGCACGCGCGCUACACUGAUGCGAUCAACAAGUUUUUCCUAUGUCGAUAGACACGGGUAAUCUUUUGAACUCGCAUCGUGAUGGGGAUAGAUUAUUGUAAUUAUUAAUCUUCAACGAGGAAUUCCUAGUAGGUGCAAAUCAUCAGUUUGUAUCGAUUACGUCCCUGCCCUUUGUACACACCGCCCGUCGCUGCUACCGAUUGGUUGAUCUGGUGAAUUAUUCGGACUGCCGGCUGAAGGGGUUUCCUCAUCUGCCAGCGGAAAGUCUUGUUAACCCUAUCAACUAGAGGAAGCAGAAGUCGUAACA